GACUUGGUAGCGAAUGGUAUCGCACCACACCCUGUUGCAAGAAUUGCACAACGCAAAGGGACGCAGCUGGUUCGAAUCCAGCCCAGGUCG